UACGUAGGGUGCGAGCGUUAAUCGGAAUUACUGGGCGUAAAGCGUGCGCAGGCGGUUAUGCAAGACAGAUGUGAAAUCCCCGGGCUUAACCUGGGAACCGCAUUUGUGACUGCAUAGCUGGAGUACGGCAGAGGGUGAUGGAAUUCCGCGUGUAGCAGUGAAAUGCGUAGAGAUCGGGAGGAACAUCAGUUGCGAAGGCGGCUCUCUGGACCAGCACUGACACUGAGGCACGAAAGCGUGGGGAGCAAACAGG
rnacentral:rRNA from 1 species